UAACCGUGGUAAUUCUAGAGCUAAUACAUGCUGAAAACCCCGACUUCGGAAGGGAUGUAUUUAUUAGAUUAAAAACCAAUGCCCUCCGGGGCUCCCUGGUGAUUCAUGAUAACUUCUCGAAUCGCACGGCCUUGCGCCGGCGAUGGUUCAUUCAAAUUUCUGCCCUAUCAACUUUCGACGGCUGGGUCUUGGCCAGCCAUGGUGACAACGGGUAACGGAGGGUUAGGGCUCGACCCCGGAGAAGGAGCCUGAGAAACGGCUACUACAUCUAAGGAAGGCAGCAGGCGCGCAAAUUACCCAAUCCCGACGCGGGGAGGUAGUGACAAUAAAUACUGAUACAGGGCUCUUUAGGGUCGUGUAAUUGGAAUGAGUACAGUUUAAUUCCCUUAACGAGGAACAAUUGGAGGGCAAGUCUGGUGCCAGCAGCCGCGGUAAUUCCAGCUCCAAUAGCGUAUAUUAAAGUUGUUGCAGUUAAAAAGCUCGUAGUUGAACCUUGGGCCUGGCUGGCCGGUCCGCCUCACCGCGUGCACUGGUCCGGCCGGGCCUUUCCCUCUGGGGAGCCGCAUGCCCUUCACUGGGCGUGCCGGGGAACCAGGACGUUUACUUUGAAAAAAUUAGAGUGUUCAAAGCAGGCUUAUGCUCGGAUACAUUAGCAUGGAAUAAUGGAAUAGGACGUGCGGUUCUAUUUUGUUGGUUUCUAGGACCGCCGUAAUGAUUAAUAGGGACAGUCGGGGGCAUCAGUAUUCAAUUGUCAGAGGUGAAAUUCUUGGAUUUAUUGAAGACUAACUACUGCGAAAGCAUUUGCCAAGGAUGUUUUCAUUAAUCAGGAACGAAAGUUAGGGGAUCGAAGACGAUCAGAUACCGUCGUAGUCUUAACCAUAAACUAUGCCGACUAGGGAUCGGACGCUGUUGUCUUUUGA
rnacentral:rRNA from 1 species